UGGGGAAUUUUGCGCAAUGGGCGAAAGCCUGACGCAGCAACGCCGCGUGGGUGAUGAAGGUCUUCGGAUCGUAAAACCCUGUCGUCGGGGACGAAGGUGGGCGGGUUAAUAGCCUGUUUGCUUGACGGUACCCGGAGAGGAAGCCCCGGCUAACUCUGUGCCAGCAGCCGCGGUAAUACAGAGGGGGCAAGCGUUAUUCGGAAUUAUUGGGCGUAAAGGGCGCGUAGGCGGCUUUUUAAGUGAGAUGUGUAAUCCCUGAGCUCAACUUGGGAACUGCAUCUCAUACUGGGAGGCUAGAGUACUGGAGAGGGUGGUAGAAUUCCACGUGUAGCGGUGAAAUGCGUAGAGAUGUGGAGGAAUACCAGUGGCGAAGGCGGCCACCUGGACAGUAACUGACGCUGAGGCGCGAAAGUGUGGGUAGCAAACAGG
rnacentral:rRNA from 1 species